rnacentral:rRNA from 1 species
AGCAGUCGCCGCGGUAAUACGGAGGGUGCAAGCGUUAAUCGGAAUUACUGGGCGUAAAGCGCACGCAGGCGGUUUGUUAAGUCAGAUGUGAAAUCCCCGAGCUUAACUUGGGAACUGCAUUUGAAACUGGCAAGCUAGAGUCUUGUAGAGGGGGGUAGAAUUCCAGGUGUAGCGGUGAAAUGCGUAGAGAUCUGGAGGAAUACCGGUGGCGAAGGCGGCCCCCUGGACAAAGACUGAUGCUCAGGUGCGAAAGCGUGGGGAGCAAACAGGAUUAGAUACCCCUGUAGUCCCUGUCUCUUAUAA